GAAACUUUCCUACAGCUGGGCAGUGAACUUUGAGCCUACAUGUGUAGGAUAGGGGGGAGGCUUUGAAGUGCGUACGCGAGUAAUCAUGGAGCCAUCCUUGAAAUACCACCCUUGUAUGUUUGAUGUUCUAACGUUGGCCCCUGAAUCGGGGUUGCGGACAGUGCCUGGUGGGUAGUUUGACUGGGGCGGUCUCCUCCCAAAGAGUAACGGAGGAGCACGAAGGUUGGCUAAGUACGGUCGGACAUCGUACGGUUAGUGUAAUGGUAGAAGCCAGCUUAACUGCGAGACAGACACGGCGAGCAGGUACGAAUGUAGGUCAGAGUGAUCCGGUGGUUCUGAAUGGAAGGGCCAUCGCUCAACGGAUAAAAGGUCCGCCCGGGAUGACAGGCUGAUACAGCCCAAG
rnacentral:rRNA from 1 species